GGUAUAGCUCAGUUGGUUAGAGCGCUAGGUUGUGGCCCUAGAGGUCAAGGGUUCAACUCCCUUUAC
rnacentral:tRNA from 2 species